CGGGACCAUGACCUGAGCCGAAGGCAGACGCUUAACCAACUGAGCCACCCAGGUGCCCCUGCAUUCGUGUUUUUCUACUUCAAGGUUUCCUAAGCAGUCAAAUGUUAGCAGAGAUUCCAGAGGCCAUGUGUUUAGAAGCUGCUGCGACUCUCAGCACAGCCCGAGUUUUCACUCACUGCCUAUUCAGCAAGGAAACAAAAAGGCGGGGAAAGACCCUCACGCCUGGCGUCGUGCCAACACAGCAAACAAGAAUGUGGGGCUUGGAAGGCAAGCUGACAACGGUCUGAAUGCAGCCUCCACUCUGCUUACCAAACACAGGCAAUGCAUGACAGCGCUCUGAGCCAACUUCCUCGUAUCUUUCAAACAGCGAUAAUUCUGUCCAAAGCGUACUUCUGUCUAGCACAUGGAUCCUCUGUAGGACACUACACUACAUUCCCUCCAUUUGUCUGCAGUACGGCAGUUUUCCUCGUCUUUCAUCACCUUGACACUUCUGAAGAGCUCUACGUCGUUAUUUUGUAGAAUGUCCUUGAAUUUGCACUGCCUGCUGGUUCCUCAUGACUGAAGUAAUGCUGCGCAUUUUUGGCAUGAAUACGACAAGAAUGAUGUCCACACAGUGUCAUACCAAGAGGUUCAUGAUGUUGAUAUUAACAUGUCUUGUUACUGGUGAUGUUUACUUUGGUUAAGUUCCUGUCUGCCAAAUUCCUACACUAGAAAGAUAACUUUCUUUUCCUUUGCUAAAUAUUUAGGGGAAGAUACUUUGAAACCAUGCAAAUCUUGUUUCUCCUCACUUUCUCACCCGGGGUUUUUAGCAUUCAAAAGAUUUUGUGUGCAACACUAAUUACUGUGGAAUAUGCCUAAGGGCAAUUCUCUAUUUCCCUCCUUCUACAUUUAUUCACUGGUAUUAUGAGGAAGACCUAUCCCUCUCCUCCCAUUUAUUUGAUCAUUUAUAUUAAUAUGAACUCGUAUUUAUUUCAUUCUGUAGGUUAAAAUCUAAUACUAUCAUUAUUCUAUUGAUCAAACUGUUCUACCUGUGGCUGUUAGGUGCUCCUUUGAGUUGGCUCCUGUCUUUCAACAAACCCUCAACCUUUUUUUGAGCAUUUCUUUACUUUCUAGCACCGCGAGAGCUCCAGGCUCACCUUGCACUUCCUUGUCUCAGUCCUGAAAUCAACUACUAAGAGCCUCAAUGAGAUAGCUGUUUAUUUUUUUUUAAA